ACUGCUCAGUAACACGUGGACAACCUGCCCUUAGGUUGGGUAUAAACCCGGGAAACUGGGUAUAAUACCCGAUAGGUCUCGAUUGCUGGAAUGCAUCGAGAUUUAAAGCUCCGGCGCCUAAGGAUGGGUCUGCGGCCUAUCAGGUAGUAGUGGGUGUAGCGUACCUACUAGCCUACGACGGGUACGGGUUGUGAGAGCAAGAGCCCGGAGAUGGAUUCUGAGACACGAAUCCAGGCCCUACGGGGUGCAGCAGGCGCGAAAACUUUACAAUGCUGGCAACAGCGAUAAGGGAACCUCGAGUGCCAGGUUACAAAUCUGGCUGUCGAGAUGCCUAAAAAGCAUUUCAUAGCAAGGGCCGGGCAAGACCGGUGCCAGCCGCCGCGGUAACACCGGCGGCUCGAGUGGUAACCGUUAUUAUUGGGUCUAAAGGGUCUGUAGCCGGCCGGAUAAGUCUCUUGAGAAAUCUGGCAGCUUAACUGUCAGGCUUUCAGGAGAUACUGUCUGGCUCGAGGCCGGGAGAGGUGAGAGGUACUUCAGGGGUAGGGGUGAAAUCUUGUAAUCCUUGAAGGACCACCAGUGGCGAAGGCGUCUCACCAGAACGGACCUGACGGCAAGGGACGAAAGCUAGGGGCACGAACCGGAUUAGAUACCCGGGUAGUCCUAGCCGUAAACGAUACUCGCUAGGUGUCGGCCACGGUGCGACCGUUGUCAGUGCCGUAGGGAAGCCGUGAAGCGAGCCACCUGGGAAGUACGGGCCGCAAGGCUGAAACUUAAAGGAAUUGGCGGGGGAGCAC
rnacentral:rRNA from 1 species